rnacentral:lncRNA from 1 species
CUCAAAACAGUCCAAAACGUUCUACCUCACCCGAUUUCGCCCCAAAAAUUCACCUCAUGCCCUCUUUUCCUCUCUAUUAUUGCCACAUGGGUGUAACGACCUCUGACAACAACAAGAUUCCCUCCUCACUCGCCCGUUUUCAAGCUAUCUCACGCGGAUUAGAAGGCUCUAGAAGAAGGGUGUUGGAUUAGUGAGAAGCGUCGGAUCGAUUUGAUUCAAUCCGAGCCUCACGUUCAUCAAAUGCUCGUUUUCAAGAGAGCCUCAUUCGUAUUUCGUGAAGAGGGGGAAAGGAUCGAGAGUUUUGAUAUAAGGGACCAUUUCGAGUAAGUAGUGGGGGAUUGUUUUUGGAGUCGAAAAGAUUGAAAAAAUAAGCUUGAGAGUUCAUUCAGUUUUCAUGGAGUUAUUUUGGAUUUUAAUUUUGAUUCUGGAAGAAAAGGCUAAGAUAUUCCAGUUUCUUUUGGUUUUGAUUCCUGGUUCUGUUUCAGAAAAUCUAAAAAAAAAAGAAGUUUUCACUAUCUUUCUUUGAUUCCUUUCAUAAAUAGAGAUGGAUUGAGUUUGCCCGAGUUUUCUUUUUUGUCCUGUUUGUUUUAUAAUUUCACUGGAGAUCAGUUUUGAUUAGCAUUUCGAUGCACUAGAGUUUUCUUUGAUUUCAGUUCUGGUUUUCGGACGAACAAUGGCACUCGUAGAGAAAUUUGAGUCUGCUGUUGUCUGAGCUUCUGAUUUCAACCCAUUAGCUUCCAGGUCUCGUUUAUAUUCCAAGCUCGUACAAAGUUAAACGGGUUGUUUAUUGAUUCAGGUUUGCUUUUAAUCCCAUGUAGCCUAUCUUUGGCAUUUUGAUUAUGAAAUGUGACUGUUUGGUCGUAAUGUGUUGGUUUUCCAUUUGCACGAGUAUGUCUGGUUUGACUCGGUUGUGUAUAUGUCAUUGAUUUCUGAUUGUGCUGUGUAUUUAGAACUAUUGCGAUCGUCUGUUAAAUUCUGUUACAUUCUGGUCGAACCGUCUUCAUGACUAGUUGAGUUCUUCAGAAGUUUCCUUUUGGUUAAGUUAGAAUUAAAAAAAAUUAAUAUGAGUAAUUAUUUGCUGCUGUAGUUUGAAUUGUGAGUGAGGGAUGAAACUAUCUUUGAGAUGCUGAGAAAUUGAAAGCCUCUUGUGGUUUGAAUCUGAAAUAUUGGAAACCUUGUUCUGGCUUCUUCCUUUUAGUGUGGAUUUUGUUGAUAUUUGCUAGCAAUUUAGCUAAGUAUCAGUUCUGAUUCGUGUUGGCUUCGCGCUAGAUUUAUUUGUUUCUUGAUGAUUCUAGUUUGAAACUAAUUAAUCCGCUGCUUGAACUAUUUGAGUUCCAUCCUGAUUUGUCUUAGCCUCAUUUUGGUUCAUCUUAGUUGAUACAUUGUUUAAUGAAGUAAGUUGUAAACCUUUGUGACACUAUAUCACUUAACAACUGAAACUGUUGGUUUUCAUUUAAAUAGCUGAAUCUAUUCGGAGCUGUCAUCUCUAAUUUUCCUUGGUUUUCGAACGAGAAGUUUGCUAGACGUGUUAUUGCUUGGUAAUAGGAUUACUGUUGAUCAUACAUCUUUGUUGCAUAUUGAGUUGAAUACCAGUUAGGAUGUUCUUGCUUUAUUUAUUGUUAAAAACAAUGAAAAGCAGUACUGUAGCUGCAUGCUUGUUUUAGUCGACUGUAUUUCAAAUCUUAUUUCAGUUUUUUCAUGGUUAUUAUGUUUGAUGUGGUGCAUCAGUCAAGCCAG